rnacentral:rRNA from 1 species
UACGUAGGUGACAAGCGUUGUCCGGAAUUAUUGGGCGUAAAGAGCGCGUAGGCGGUCCGGUAAGUCGGUUGUGAAAGUCGGGGGCUCAACCCUCGAAUGCCGGUGGAUACUGUCGGGCUAGAGUGCGGAAGAGGCGAGUGGAAUUCCUGGUGUAGCGGUGAAAUGCGCAGAUAUCAGGAGGAACACCAAUUGCGAAGGCAGCUCGCUGGGACGUAACUGACGCUGAGACGCGAAAGCGUGGGGAGCAAACAGG